ensembl:lncRNA
GUGGGGCUCAGCUGCUCCCCUGCUGAGUGGUGCUUGCUCUGCGCCUUGGGAAUGCUCUCCUUCCAGCUCCAAGCCAGGAAAAGGUGGAGGUGGACACCGCCUGCGGUGGUCAGGCACUGCAAUGGGCUGCCCAGAGAGGUGGUGGAGUCACCGAGCCUGGAGGUGUUCAAAGAGCAUUUGGAUGUUGUGUUGAGGGACAUGGUUAGCGGGAACCAUUGGUGAUGGGCGAACGGUUGGACUGGGUGAUCCUGUGGGUCUUUUCCAACCUGAGCGAUUCUAUGAUUUAACAGCCCCAUAUGGCCAGUGUGUAAAGCCAGUGGGGAAUGGAGGCUGACGGUAGAUUACCAUGGCCUGAAUGAAGUCACACCUCCACCGAGUGCUGCUGUGCUGGACGUUAGAACUCCAGUAUGAACUGGAGUUGAAAGCAGCCAAGUGGUAUGCCACCACUGACAUUGCUUGGGUCUUUCCAGCCUCCGGGAAGGGCAGAUCUCUCUGUGGAAUGGUUUUUGUUUGGGGACUUGGGUCCACUUGGUGGGUGAUGCAGAAAGAUGGGGAUGUUCAAUGUGUACCACAAGGGAAUCUGAUGCUGGGGGAGUGCAGUCAGUAAUUCCACGUGUAUAUAUAUAUAUGUAUAUAGAUAUGUGUGUGUGUAAUGCAUGUUAAUUGCUGUUUGUUUGUAUAUAUGUAUAUAUUUAGCAUGAGUGAUGUGGAAUAAGGGGUGGAACGUCACGGCUUUAUGAUUUUUGUUUCCACGUCAUAACAUCAUGUAAUGCACGGGGAGUUAAAGAGUUAAUGCCCCACUUCCAUGGACCGCCAACUUUCCGGAUUCCAGGCUCUCAGAAGAGAACUGCAUGCCCCAGAGGACUUUGUGUUCAAAGGAGAAGAUCAGACCCACAAGUCAUGGGACUCACUCCCUCUGUUGCUGCCCUGCAGUGUGUGGUUGUGCUCCCCAGCCAUUUCACCUUCAGUUCAGAGUAAGGCCUUCAGUUUCUGACACUCUCUCUCUCAUUUUAUUUGAUUUAUUAGCCACAGUUCCAAUUAUACAUUGCAUUAUGUUGUGCUAUCUUGCAUUAGUAAAUUAACUUUCCUCCUCA